UGGGGAAUAUUGCACAAUGGAGGGAACUCUGAUGCAGCGACGCCGCGUGAACGAAGAAGGCUUUCGCGUCGUCAAGUUCUUUUAUAUGGGAAGAUAAUGACGGUACCAUAAGAAAAAGCCCCGGCUAACUACGUGCCAGCAGCCGCGGUAAUACGUAGGGGGCUAGCGUUGUCCGGAAUCACUGGGCGUAAAGGGUUCGCAGGCGGAAAUGCAAGUCAGGUGUAAAAGGCAGUAGCUUAACUACUGUAAGCAUUUGAAACUGCAUAUCUUGAGAAGAGUAGAGGUAAGUGGAAUUUUUAGUGUAGCGGUGAAAUGCGUAGAUAUUAAAAAGAAUACCGGUGGCGAAGGCGACUUACUGGGCUCAUUCUGACGCUGAGGAACGAAAGCGUGGGUAGCAAACAGG
rnacentral:rRNA from 1 species